GAUUGAUGAGAUCCGGCUGUUCACAAGCACCCAGGCAGGCACGUUGAAUUUUGCAAAAAAUCCCUUCAGUUCUCCGCUAAUCGACUUUGGGUUUAGAAAUGCUCGUCGCCUGCGGUAACCACUGCACGUUCGGUUUCUUUGCGGCACGCCCCUCUAUUCCAAAAUAUUUCAACACCAAGAAGAGAAAAUUCCGAUUUCAUAUCACUUUUGCAAAAAAAAAACUCCGUCGGCCAUUUUGAGAAGAACCCCCACCGCUCCACCGCACCUGUUAACCGGACGGGCGGCUGGCCCCGCCACCCCCCCCCCCCCCAUUUCUCUCUGCGUCUUCUCUCCGUUGUCGCUCCUCGCUACCAUCGGCUUCUGGCGCCGCGCGGCUUGCUGUCGCUUCCCACUUCUCCAUUUCUCUCCGUCCUCGUGACCGGCGCUCGAUCCCCACAUCGCCGCCGCACCAGGGAGCGUCCCUCGCAGCCCAUCCCGUAUCGCGAGCAGCCCUCACACCCUAAC
rnacentral:lncRNA from 1 species